rnacentral:misc_RNA from 1 species
UUCGAGCGUCAUUAUGACCAAAUCACGCUCUGCGUGGUCUUGGGGUUCGCUGUCACGGCGGCUCCUAAACUCAGUGGCGGCGCCAUGCGGCUCUAAGCGUAGUAAAUUUCCUCGCUAUAGGGUCUGUGUAGAUGCUUGCCAGCAACCCCCAAUCUUUCUAGGUUGACCUCGGAUCAGGUAGGGAUACCCGCUGAACUUAA